CAACCCUCAGGGCCCCCAGGGGACCUGGUGUUGGGGGCCGGCCGCCCGCGCCGCCCCCGAAAUGCAGUGGCGACCCCGCCGCAGCCUCCCCUGCGCAGUAGCACAACCUCGCACCGGAGCGCGGAGGCGGUCACGCCGUAAAACGCCCAACCCUCUCAGGAG
rnacentral:misc_RNA from 1 species